GGCCCAUAAUAAAAGCAGCCCCUCCGCCCCCGCCCACGGCCUCCAUUUUCCAUUCCCAUCCCGCAACGCACGCAGCUCGCUCGACCAGAACACCUCGGAGCAGCAGCAGCGGCGGCCGGCGGAGACCGUGUCAUGGCGAUGGAGGGCUACGACCGCGAGUUCUGGCAGUUCGGCGACCAGCUGCGCCUCCAGACGGCCACCUUCUCCGGCCUCUCCCUCGGCGACUCCAUCUGGUCCCCCGCCGACAACACCGCCCCCCGCGCCCGCAACGCCGACCUCUUCUCCCAUCCCCGGCGCCCGACAACAACAGCGCCGGGUUCGCCGCCGCCAAGAUGAACGGCAGCCUCAACGGGCCCGGCCUCAUCGGGUCCGGCAAGCUCGCCUUCGGCGCCACCACCACCAGCAAGGCCGACCGCUACAACAACGUCAGCCUCGCCGACGCCAAGCCCUACGCCAACGCCAACGCCAACGCCAACGGCAUGUACGGUGCCAAGCCCAACAACACCAACAUGAACAACGGCUUCGGGCUCAACAAGAUGGCUGCCGGCGGCGGGGCUACGGCAACUUCAACAGCGGCAACGAGGGGGUGAAGAGCUACUUCAACAAGUCCAUCGGCAGGCCGGCCAGCAACAACAGCAGCAGCAACAACUUCAGCGGCUACGGCGGCAAGAAGGGCGCCGCGGACGGCAAGAAGAAGCACGCCAAGAACGAGCGAGGGGACAGCAACCACGGCGCCGCGUCGGAGAAGCGGUUCAAGACGCUGCCGGCGUCCGAGGCGCUCCCCCGGAACGAGCCCAUCGGAGGAUACAUCUUCGUCUGCAACAACGACACUAUGGAGGAGAACCUCAAGAGGCAGCUCUUCGGGUUGCCAUCCAGAUACAGAGAUUCAGUGAGGGCAAUCAGGCCAGGGCUGCCCCUCUUCCUCUACAACUACUCCACCCACCAGCUCCACGGCAUCUUCGAAGCUGCGAGCUUUGGCGGAGCGAACAUCGACCCGGCGGCGUGGGAGGACAAGAAGUGCAACGGCGAGUCCCGCUUCCCUGCACAGGUGAGGGUGGCCACAAGGAAGAUCUGCGACCCGCUGGAGGAGGACGCCUUCCGCCCGAUCCUGCACCACUACGACGGGCCCAAGUUCCGGCUGGAGCUCAGCAUCACCGAGGCCCUCUCCCUUCUCGAUAUAUUUGAAGACAAGGACGAGGCCUGAUCGAGGCUGCAUGCCUACUGCUGAUCAGGGAGGGACUGUUGAGGAAGGAACAACGCAAUAAGAUCGAUCGGAGCAUAUAUAUAUACAUACAUACAUACGAUUAAUAUCAUUAUCAAUUAAUGGUGAUAUAUACAUACGUGAGUUUUAUGUAUUGGGUUUUCCAUCCCGCGGGCUAUGAAAUUAUGCGCCCCCCGCUGUCUAUCAUGCAUGCGUGGUGAUGGCUGCACAAGAUGAGCCCUCGUGGACAUAACUAAUCUAUUGUCACGGCUUUGUAUGUAUGUAUAAUAUUGAGACUUUAAGAUGUUUCUCCUGUUGUGUACCUUAGCAGAAUAAAUCAUCCUUUUUACUGAA